GAUGAACGCUAGCGGCAGGCCUAACACAUGCAAGUCGAGGGGUAACAGGGGGUGCUUGCACUCCGCUGACGACCGGCGCACGGGUGCGUAACGCGUAUACAAUCUGCCUUAUACUGGGGUAUAGCCUUUAGAAAUGAAGAUUAAUCCCCCAUAGUCUCUAGAUGUGGCAUCACAAUUAGAGUAAAGGUUACGGUAUAAGAUGAGUAUGCGUUCUAUUAGUUUGUUGGUGAGGUAACGGCUCACCAAGACUACGAUAGAUAGGGGCCCUGAGAGGGGGAUCCCCCACACUGGUACUGAGACACGGACCAGACUCCUACGGGAGGCAGCAGUGAGGAAUAUUGGACAAUGGACGAAAGUCUGAUCCA
rnacentral:rRNA from 1 species